rnacentral:piRNA from 1 species
UAGGUAGCCAAAGCAGAGAGAGAAGGCAGC